ensembl:lncRNA
AAUGCUGGGUUGUUUAAUCUACCCAACCGCUGGGUUAUGAAAUGCUUUACCCAUUAUGGGUUAUUUAUAUGGAAUUUGGGUUAUUUUGUGCAACUCAUGCGUUGAGUCAAAAUCCAUCAACCCAAUUUAUAUCGGUUGACCCAGCACGUGAGUUGUUUGUGCUUCGAACCUCAUCAUCACCAGAGUCCACACACCGAGCGCUCGUCACAGCAGAGAACCUGACUGCUCAUGCAGCGAGGCCAAUAAAUAAUAAAAGGUAUGUGUACACUACAUGUCUAAUUCACUUUGUCUGUGUUGCAUUACCAAUUAAAGUAGUAUCUUUAUAUUGUUGAGGCUGGUUGGUUGGUUUGGCUAACAAUGUAGCUAACGUUAGCCAUUACCAUAGAAGCACGGUUAUAAGCCUACAGCUUAUCCGUUUGGUCUGAAUUAUAUUAUAGAAUUAAUUAAACAAGUUCAUAAUGCCAAUGGGCAUAUAGUCAUGUAUAUUGAAUUUGACAGGCUAAUUUGCCAGCUAGUUUCAUGCUAGCCAGGUGAUUUGCCAGUUAGUUCCUUUGCUAGCUAUAUUAUUUUAACUGGCUAUAAACGAACGCGCUUGUUUUUCCUGAAGCUUUUAAUGUGACAUGUGAAGGCAUAACACAGUGUUUGACUGAUUAAAAUAUGUAAAAACAGUGAGAUAAUUUGAUCUGUCUUGUUAUGUGGUGACCCACAAUCGAUAAGAACAAAUUCUUAUUUAAAAUUGGCGGCCUGGCCACUUGAGUGAAGGGUUGAUGUGACACCCCAAAGUAUGUGCACAUUUUGUGUAAAGGUGUUAUACUUUAAGCAAAAGUUUCUUUUUAUUGAUGUGAACUGUAAGAUAUUUGGGACUUGAAAGUAAAUCAGUAAGGUUAGAAUAGUUUGUUGUGGUGAGAAACCAGGACUCUUAUUUUGAAAACUGAAAGGAGGACUCUGAUAUAGGCGCUGUGUGCGCGCCCGCGCCCUUACAUCUGCUGAGCAACUGGUGCGACGUGACACGGAUUUUUCCUGUUAUUUUGCAGGUAUUAUUGUUACAACAACUUGAUAAUAUGUACACGAGAUCUGUAAUGCAAAUGUAUGUUCAUACCGCAGAUAUUUUGUAUAACUUAAUGACGUUCGUGGUUGUGAAUAUGUUGAUAUGCAGACUGCCCGCCAUUUUGUGAACGCUGUAACACGAGGUGAUUGUGAAAUGCGUUUAAUUCGAUUCAAAUUGACUUCAGUUACAGGUUAUAGUGUUCAUUAUGAGUUUACUUCAAAUUUGUGUUUGGUUUAUUAAGUUAUGUAUACAUAUAACGAUCGGAUGCACUUAUUUUGCAGAACUGUCUUAUCUUUCCAACGCCUUCUGCGCGGGGUCUGUAACAUCAAGAAAUAUAUAAUAUAUUAAUAUUUAUGUGCCCUGAAGGCUAUGCUGUGAGCAGCCACAAAUAUUCUUGUGCAGUAAAAACAGUUUACAUGUAUGCAAUUUGUCAUAUGAAUUGUAUAGAGAGAGGGAGGAUUGUUUUCUCUAUAUAUUAGUGAUGCUAAAUAAAAUGGCUGGUAUCUUCACAUUGUUUUACAUUUCUGUGUCUGCAUUGCUUUUGCAUGGUGACAUAUGAAUAGUUAAUACAAUAGCAAUUGUAUUUUUGCUUAAGCUCUUUUUGUGUUUGUUUCAGAUCAAUUGACAGCUUUGUCAUUAACACUGACAGACCUUGUCGAAAGAUUUAAAGGUAAGAAAUAUUUUUCCCAUCCACCGCAUAUUAAGUCUGCAUUACUACUCAAGCCCUUUUCAGACAUGAAUUCUUAUGAAAUAUAAUUUCCUGUUUUUUUCAAUAGCUUCCAUAGGGCACAUGUCUUUUACUGUGCACGCACACAUGCAUAUCCAGCCUGGAAUAAACAUGGUGGAGUACCUCCAUGAGGCCAAGGCAUGCAAGACAUACCCUCACAUCCUGACGCUGGGAAAUGAUCAGAGUGCAUUUCAGGCCUUCGUCAUAAUAGCUGGACAGGCCCUGGAACUAGAAACACUGCUUUGGGCCAUUGAUGUCUGCUUCAAGGCAUUCUUUGUCUUUGACAUUGAAUACCCAAAGCAGUGUGAACAUGUGUGGGAAUUCAUACAGAAUGUGAUAUAUGAAAUCUAAAAUGGUUAAGUUUAUUCAAACUAGAAUACUUGCUUGCAAGUAGAGAUAAUGGCUCUUAAAAGCAGCAUUAAGGAAUUUGAAUUUGUUCACUAGAGCUGCUGACUGUUGGCCUGUUGAAUGUUCAGCCAGUUCAAUCGAAAUUGUUUUGCUUUGAAUGUUUUCCAACCUGAGUGAACUGCACCAGUUCCACUAUAUUGUCGAUAUUAAUGUAAUAAAUUUUUUCAAAGAUUCCAUUGUUUUGUUCUUGUAUUGUUUAAGUGUUUAUUGCAUAAUAUAUGCAUAAAUCUAGCAUGUAUUCUGUUCUAGGUUUGUAGUUUCACAGUUUUAUAUGGGUAGUCUAUUGCAAUUUAUUUUCUUAAAUUGUAGUGUAAUGUGUUAAGACUUAAUCUGGCAUAUGGGUUAAUUUUACCCAUCUUAAUAUGUAGUUGAAUCAACCCAGAAUUGUAUUUAAUUUGACCCAGAAUUUAGGUACACUAUUUAACAAAUAUGUAGUUAAAUCAACCCAUAAUUGUAUUUAAUUUGACCCAGAAUUUGGGUAGAAUAUUUAACUCAUCUGUUGGGUUAAAAAUGACCAACCCAUCUUGCUGGGUCAAAUUAACUACCGUUGGUCUGGUGCAAUAUUGAUCCAGCGGUUGGGUUAUAAAACAACCCAAGGUGGGUUAUUUUUAACCCAUCAUUUUUCUGUGUGUA